rnacentral:rRNA from 1 species
AGUGAGGAAUAUUGCCCAAUGGGGGAAACCCUGAGGCAGCAACGCCGCGUGAACGAAGACGGCCUUCGGGUUGUAAAGUUCUUUUCUGGGGGACGAUGAUGACGGUACCCCAGGAAUAAGUUCCGGCUAACUACGUGCCAGCAGCCGCGGUAAAACGUAGGGGACAAGCGUUAUCCGGAUUUACUGGGCGUAAAGCGCACGUAGGCGGUGAGGUAAGUUGGCCGUGAAAGCUCCCGGCUUAACUGGGAGAGGUCGGACAAAACUGCCCCACUUGAGGCUGAGAGAGGAGAGCGGAAUUCCCGGUGUAGUGGUGGAAUGCGUAGAUAUCGGGAGGAACACCAGUGGCGAAGGCGGCUCUCUGGCUCAGAACUGACGCUGAGGUGCGAAAGCGUGGGGAGCGAACGGGAUUAGAUACCCCGGUAGUCCACGCUGUAAACGAUGGAUACCAGGUGUAGGGGGUCAUUAACCCCCCCUGUGCCGCAG